rnacentral:rRNA from 1 species
GGGGAAUAUUGCGCAAUGGGGGGAACCCUGACGCAGCCAUGCCGCGUGAAUGAAGAAGGCCUUCGGGUUGUAAAGUUCUUUCGGUAUUGAGGAAGGUUGAUGUGUUAAUAGUACAUCAAAUUGACGUUAAAUACAGAAGAAGCACCGGCUAACUCCGUGCCAGCAGCCGCGGUAAUACGGAGGGUGCGAGCGUUAAUCGGAAUAACUGGGCGUAAAGGGCACGCAGGCGGUGACUUAAGUGAGGUGUGAAAGCCCCGGGCUUAACCUGGGAAUUGCAUUUCAUACUGGGUCGCUAGAGUACUUUAGGGAGGGGUAGAAUUCCACGUGUAGCGGUGAAAUGCGUAGAGAUGUGGAGGAAUACCGAAGGCGAAGGCAGCCCCUUGGGAAUGUACUGACGCUCAUGUGCGAAAGCGUGGGGAGCAAACAGGAUUAGAUACCCUGGUAGUCCACGCUGUAAACGAUGUCGAUUUGGGGGUUGAACUUUAGGUUUGGCGCCCGUAGCUAACGUGAUAAAUCGACCGCCUGGGGAGUACGGCCGCAAGGUUA